AAUACUGUGUCAAUCACGUGAGCAUUUGAUAAAACACGUGAAAAGAAUAAAAUCCGUUACAAAGGGUUACAAAAUAAGUACGUCUUGUGUGUUACCUAAUUGGUACUUUUCAGUUUCGUGGCUGUUUUCACUAAAUUUGGAUUAGGCAAGUCGGGAUUCGGGGUGGUAACCUAAGAUUAAAAUCCCCGAAGCCACACUUAAAAAAUUGGAAAAUUCGGCUUAAAAAUCGCGGUAAUAUUAAAUCAACUGGAACAAGUGCUGUUUUUGGGUCAUGCAUGUCUUAAGUUACAUAACCUCACUUAUGGGGGUUGUGCCGUGUUGGAUUAAAAGUAUUGCGAUCGGCGUUCAAUGGUCGUGGGUGUUUAUUUCGAGUUUCGAGGGUUGGUGGAGGUUAUGGCUAAGAAAAUGGUGUUUGUGUUGCGUUAGUCAUUCGAGUAAACAUUUGGGAUUACUACGUCCACUACGCGUUGAUCGCUUUGGAAUUCGUCAAGGUCCGUCGUUUGCCGUCCUUUAAAGGUGCUAAACACGUCGAAAUUUCUCAGCUAAAUACGGCGCAUCGAGGAGCGUUGUUGGCAAGUUAUUCGAGUCCUAAUUAUAGCACACCGCGAGUUGUAAUUUAUUGGACGUCGGCCGGAUUGUUGGAAUUCUUUGCGCCGAGGCCAAAAAGCGCGGCUCCGGAAAGGAAAAUUUCGGAAAGAUGUGUGUCACUUUCUCCAAGGGGAAAAAGAAUUCCCUUAAGGCCGGGCGUUCGCCAGAU